rnacentral:rRNA from 1 species
UUUGAUCAUGGCUCAGAUUGAACGCUGGCGGCAGGCCUAACACAUGCAAGUCGAGCGAACCUAGCUUGCUAGGUGAGCGGCGAACGGGUGAGUAACGCGUAGGAAUCUGCCCAAUAGUGGGGGACAACGUUCCGAAAGGGACGCUAAUACCGCAUACGCCCUACGGGGGAAAGCAGGGGAUCUUCGGACCUUGCGCUAUUGGAUGAGCCUGCGUCGGAUUAGCUAGUUGGCGGGGUAAAGGCCCACCAAGGCGACGAUCCGUAGCUGGUCUGAGAGGAUGAUCAGCCACACCGGAACUGAGACACGGUCCGGACUCCUACGGGAGGCAGCAGUGGGGAAUAUUGGACAAUGGGGGCAACCCUGAUCCAGCCAUGCCGCGUGUGUGAAGAAGGCCUUCGGGUUGUAAAGCACUUUAAGGGGGGAGGAAGGUUUGCUGGCUAAUACCCAGCAGAAUUGACGUUACCCCCAGAAUAAGCACCGGCUAACUCCGUGCCAGCAGCCGCGGUAAUACGGAGGGUGCAAGCGUUAAUCGGAAUUACUGGGCGUAAAGCGCGCGUAGGCGGCUUGAUAAGUCGAUUGUGAAAUCCCCGGGCUCAACCUGGGAAUUGCAGUCGAUACUGCCAAGCUAGAGUGUGGGAGAGGGUGGUGGAAUUCCCGGUGUAGCGGUGAAAUGCGUAGAUAUCGGGAGGAACAUCAGUGGCGAAGGCGACCGCCUGGCCCAACACUGACGCUGAGGUGCGAAAGCGUGGGUAGCAAACAGGAUUAGAUACCCUGGUAGUCCACGCCGUAAACGAUGUCAACUAGCCGUUGGAGACCUUAGAGUCUUUAGUGGCGCAGCUAACGCACUAAGUUGACCGCCUGGGGAGUACGGCCGCAAGGUUAAAACUCAAAUGAAUUGACGGGGGCCCGCACAAGCGGUGGAGCAUGUGGUUUAAUUUCGAUGCACGCGAAGAACCUUACCGCCCCCUUUGACAUCCUGGG